rnacentral:rRNA from 1 species
UACGUAGGGUGCAAGCGUUAAUCGGAAUUACUGGGCGUAAAGCGUGCGCAGGCGGCUUUGCAAGACAGAUGUGAAAUCCCCGGGCUUAACCUGGGAACUGCAUUUGUGACUGCAUGGCUGGAGUGCGGCAGAGGGGGAUGGAAUUCCGCGUGUAGCAGUGAAAUGCGUAGAUAUGCGGGGGAACACCGAUGGCGAAGGCAAUCCCCUGGGCCUGCACUGACGCUCAUGCACGAAAGCGUGGGGAGCAAACAGG